rnacentral:rRNA from 1 species
AACGUAGGAGACAAACGUUAUCCGGAGUUACUGGGCGUAAAGGGCGUGUAGGUGGUUUCGUAAGUCUGGCGUGAAAUAUCUCGGCUUAACCGAGGCAGGUCGUCGGAUACUGCGGAACUGGAGGACGGUAGAGGCGUGUGGAAUUCCGGGUGUAGUGGUGAAAUGCGUAGAGAUCCGGAGGAACACCAGUGGCGAAGGCGACACGCUGGGCCGUACCUGACGCUCAAACGCGAAAGCUAGGGGAGCGAACGGG